GAGGGGCCACCCCAUCACUAAGUACCGAAACGGCGAUAGGGACUUCAGUAUAUAGGACAUGUUCCAUUGCAAAGAGACCAAUCGGAUUCGUCUGGGCUCAUGUGCAACAAGAUCCAAGGAACGCAGCUAAUAUAUGGAAAGGAAAUGAGAUGCAGGACGAGACUGGCUUUUAGGAUCAUGAAUAUGAAUUGACAAACAUACACUAAUUCGAAUGAGAGCAGCGGUUCUAGAAAGCAGCAAGUUGUGGCAUUUGGUGGAAGUUUCUUGUCAGUUACGUCAGGUCCCCGACGCGGGCAGAACCAAAUUAGGGGGGAGCCAAAGAAGCGAAGCAGGACUGAGCCAGAGUUUGGAAUUCCAGUGUCCAUGUGGGCACAGAACCAAGCCACACAAGAAAGGAUACAAGCAGGGGACAGCGCUGAGGUGAACCAAAAGCCGGGAUGGAAGCAUGGCAAUCCAGAUUCUUCUAUUGCAAAGAAGAGAAAUUUGCUGUGGAGAAUGCAAGCGAAACAGAGUUGGGUUUAGAUGAAGUCACGACGGGAGGAUCCUUAUGAUGGGAUGAGUGCCCUUUUAAGAAGAGCUAGAGAACGAGAUCUCCUGCAUUGAGGAAAGUCCUACGAAGACACAGUGAGAAGGCAGCCAGCCAUCUGCAAGCUCUGAAGAGAGCUCUCUACAGAACCUGACCAUGUUAGCCCCUACUGUCAGACUUCUGGCCUUCAGAACCAUGAGAAAAUACAUUUCUGUUUGGUAGUUCACCUUAAGGAUAACCUGGAAGAAGAAACAAAUGCUGUGCCAUUGCCUCAGGCUCUACCCUCUGUCAAUUGGUAAAUCACCAAGCUAGGUUUACCGUUACAGUUCAAUAAAAUAUUUGGAAGAAGAG